UACGUAGGGUGCGAGCGUUGUCCGGAAUUAUUGGGCGUAAAGAGCUCGUAGGCGGUCUGUCGCGUCGAUCGUGAAAACUUGGGGCUUAACCCUGAGCUUGCGGUCGAUACGGGCAUGACUGGAGUUCGGCAGGGGAGACUGGAAUUCCUGGUGUAGCGGUGAAAUGCGCAGAUAUCAGGAGGAACACCGGUGGCGAAGGCGGAUCUCUGGGCCUGUCCUGACGCUCAGGCGCGAAAGCCAGGGGAGCGAACGGG
rnacentral:rRNA from 1 species